rnacentral:rRNA from 1 species
GUGAGGAAUAUUGGACAAUGGGCGCAAGCCUGAUCCAGCCAUGCCGCGUGCAGGAAGACGCAUCUAUGGUGUGUAAACUGCUUUUGUACGGGAAGAAACACUCCCUCGUGAGGGAGCUUGACGGUACCGUAAGAAUAAGGAUCGGCUAACUCCGUGCCAGCAGCCGCGGUAAUACGGAGGAUCCAAGCGUUAUCCGGACUCAUUGGGUUUAAAGGGUCCGUAGGCGGUUUAAUAAGUCAGUGGUGAAAGCCCAUCGCUCAACGAUGGAACGGCCAUUGAUACUGUUAGACUUGAAUUACAAGGAAGUAACUAGAAUAUGUAGUGUAGCGGUGAAAUGCUUAGAUAUUACAUGGAAUACCAAUUGCGAAGGCAGGUUACUACUUGUGGAUUGACGCUGAUGGACGAAAGCGUGGGGAGCGAACAGGAUUAGAUACCCGAGUAGUCC